GAGGAUGUAGCUCAGUGGUAGAACACUUGCCUCAUAUGCACGAGGUCCUGGGUUCAAUAUCCUAGCACUGUCU
rnacentral:tRNA from 1 species